rnacentral:rRNA from 1 species
GGGCCCGCACAAGCGGAGGAACAUGUGGUUUAAUUCGAUGAUACGCGAGGAACCUUACCCGGGCUCGAACGGCAAUAGAAUAUAGAUGAAAGUUUAUAGCCAGCAAUGGCUGUUGUCGAGGUGCUGCAUGGUUGUCGUCAGCUCGUGCCGUGAGGUGUCGGCUUAAGUGCCAUAACGAGCGCAACCCCUACUGACAGUUGCUAACAGGUUAAAGCUGAGGACUCUGUCGGGACUGCCGGCGUAAGCUGCGAGGAAGGUGGGGAUGACGUCAAAUCAGCACGGCCCUUACGUCCGGGGCGACACACGUGUUACAAUGGGCGGCACAGCGGGAAGCCACUUGGCGACAAGGCGCAGAUCCCCAAAGCCGCUCCCAGUUCGGAUCGGAGUCUGCAACUCGACUCCGUGAAGCUGGAUUCGCUAGUAAUCGCGCAUCAGCCAUGACG